AUUGAACGCUGGCGGCAGGCCUAACACAUGCAAGUCGAACGAGUGGCGGACGGGUGAGUAAUGUCUGGGAAACUGCCUUAUGGAGGGGGAUAACUACUGGAAACGGUAGCUAAUACCGCAUACCAUCAGAUGUGCCCCGAUGGGAUUAGCUUGUUGGGGGGGUAACGGCUCACCAAGGCGACGAUCCCUAGCUGGUCUGAGAGGAGGACCAGCCACACGGGAACUGAGACACGGUCAAGACUCCUACGGGAGGCAGCAGUGGGGAAUAGUGCACAAUGGGCGCAAGCCUGAUGCAGCCAUGCCGAGUGGAUGAAGAAGGCGUUCGGGGUGGAAAGUACUUUCAGCGGGGAGGCGUUACCCGCAGAAGAAGCACCGGCUAACUCCGUGCCAGCAGCCGCGGUAAUAC
rnacentral:rRNA from 1 species